rnacentral:lncRNA from 1 species
CUAGUGAAGAACUUCAGGUUUUAUUCUUGAUUAGUUCUUGAGACUUUCAAGACCUUUAAGACUCCCACUGUCCUCUUGACAUAUAAGACUCCCUUGUCAAACAUCCAAGAGAUAGUGCGGAUUCUAAUCAAGAAAAACACUUUACCCAAUUGGCCUAAGUUGGUCUUUGUUUUAUCCAAAACAUCACAACUUACCAAUUUCAAAUGUACAAGAGUAGAAAACUUUUACUCUUACAUUUGACAAGUGUUUUAAACCUUCUUUAAGACAUGUCACUCAAAUGACAAUCUUGGAGUAUGACUCUAAGACUUGUAUUGGAACGAAGUAUGACUCAUCUUCUUGAUUUAACCAUUUCAACAAUUCAAGUUCCUCUUCUUAGUCAUAAGAAUGCACUAAGAUUUCCUUAGAGAACUAAUUUUGAUAUGGUUUCUUAAUCAUUAAGAUGAUCACAAAACUGAUACUAAAGUACUCUCCCAUCUUUUCAGAUUUGAGAAACUUUUAUCCUUCUGCCUUAUUUGAUUCUUCUUAUCGAUCUUUAGUGGUGGACUUAAUCAGUGCACAAGAAUGUGUACUCGAUCCCUAAGUCCUUUACUUGACUCACACAUCCAUGUGAACAAGUAAUUAGUCUUAAUUUUCCAAAACUUGAAAGUUCUCAUUCAUCAUGCUAUACAACUUGCAUGAUUCCAAGUUCCGGUCCAAUUGAAACUUGGGUGAUGAGAAUCUUUCCUUAUUUGGUAAAUUUAGACAUUACCACAAAUGAAAGAAUCAAUUUCAUACUUCCACUCUUGCUACUAAUGGAAUCUUAUAAGCAACAAAAAUUUCCACAGAUGCCAUUGUAAGGAUAUUUUAAAAUAAAUAAAAUCAAAAAUUUCCUUUUAUUUUAAAACUUUGCGGAAAAACUAUCCUUACAAUCCAUAUGAAAACUUGUUGUUAUCUAUUCCUAAGCAAUAUCUCAUAACUCCUAAGAAGUAGCUCAAGAAUCCGAUUUUUCAAACUAUGCGAUAGAAAUCCAUCUAUGCGAUCAGAUUCAGCAUAUUCUUCCUUUAAGUUUCUUCACUUUCCUUUGAUUCUUAAACCAUCACCAUGCGACCCGGUCACAUCAUGUAUCAAGAAUCUCAGAAUAGAAACUUAACAGAGUUAGAUAGUGGAUUUUACCUGAAGUAGAGUCAAACUUAUUGACUUUAACAUCCUUAGGUAAAUUUGGCAGCUUCGCAACCAAUGCCCUUUCUUUGGCAAUACAAACAUAUGGACCCUUUGAUAAUGGUACACAGGACUAUCACAGACUUAGCUUUUCUCUUUACCAUUUGGUCAACCGAGUUGACUAUAGCCGAUCCCUUUCCAUUGGGAAGAGAAUGCUUUACUGGAUAUCCAAUGUCAUCAUUGUCAAUGUCCAUAAAGUUUUAGGAAGUUGAUCUUAACAAAUAGAUAAGAUCAUUAAGGGUCUUGUCAUAGUCUUUUUCAUAGGUGUUCCAAAAGAACUCACUAUGUGACUUAGAAAGUAGUUGAACCACCAACUUUCUCAAGACUUUGACACCCAACUCUCCCGGCUUGUCAAUAUGUGACUACAUCUCCAAGAUGUGACCACACCUAGACCUUGCCUUGCCAAAAGGGCCUGAGUGACCUUAAACUUUUCAAGAACUUGUGGGUUAGGGAGAAUAAUUUGAAGAGGUGAAGAAGUAUGAUAUCCAUGGGACAUCAUCUUCAUUAGGAAACCUUGUUUCAAGAGAUUUGGGAAGAUCAUAGGUGUCUAAACCAGACAUCUUUUGGGAGAUAUUCAAGAUAGUUGAUUUAAAGUCCUUAAUAUGACACCCAAUAUGAAAUAUUAAGGCUAGGACCCAACAAACUAUUUUAUAACUUAGAAGAGGUAUGCCGUAAUCCAAGCUAUAAAAUAUUUGAAGGUAGGUGAAUGACGAUUCACCAAUUUCCACCAAGAUAAACGAAAUGUAUUAUUAGGUUUUAAUUGGUUUUGAAACUCCUAGAUCUUUGAGAUUCAUUGAACUUUUCAAAGGCAUGUUUCAAUCUCGAGUGUGCCCUUCAGGUUUUGUGACUGGGAUGCCGAGGAUCACAAAACAAGGUGUGAAGUAACCAUGCAAAUCACUUGGUACCCUUAAUAAAUUACCCCUCAAUCGAUGUGCCGGUUAACCACACACGCUCCAUCGAUACUAUGAUAAAUAUUAAGUCACCCUUUACCUACCUUGUUAAGUCCAAGUUAGUGUGCCGGUUAACCACACACGCUCCACUAACGACUUAGACAAAGUGUAAAGUGUAAUUUCAUGGAUUAGCACCUUAUUCACAUUUUUCCUAAGUAACUAAGAUUGGGUAUUAUUAAGAGUUUAGUUACUUAGUAUUAUCAUUAAUACUUUUAAUGAAGGGAGAAUUCUAGUCCUGUCAAACCCGUUCGGCUAACGACCCUCCACCAGUCAAGCAAGCGGUGGGUGAGAGUGGACACCCAUUAAGUUGCCAUUUUAUAGGCAACAACCUUAUACCCACCUUAUAGACCGGCUUCGUGAAUGAGGCGUACUAGCGGUAAGACUGACUUUACUCUUAUACAUAUAUAUAUUAUUAACUUAUAAUAUUAUAAAGUAUAAGGGUUGAAUUUUAACUUUUAAAAUUCUAAGGGCUAACUUGGAAUUAAAGUAUUCAUAAGUGAAAACUUUACAAAUUCCAAAACUUGAGGGCAAGUUUUGAAACUAUUCAAAACUAAUUAAUUCCAUAACUUAUGUGUUUAAAGUAGUUUUAAUCCAAAAACUCUUCAAGUUCCAUAACUUGAGGACAAGUUAUGGAAGACUUUAAACUAAUAAAAGAAUUAACUUUUCUUUAUUUUAUAACUUAUGGAAUUAAUUAAGGUUACACUUUUUUUUUUUUUAUUUUAUUUUAUUAAAUGAAGAGACUCUUGGUCCUCCAUAACUUGAGGACAAGUUAUGGAGUCAUAAAACCAUUUAAUUAGAACUAGACUCUUCAUUUUUGUAACCUUUGCCAAUUUUUAUGAGUUUUAUGAUUCUUAAAUGUGACUUUUCAUAUAACUUGAGGACAAGUUACAAAAACACAUUUUAGAAUCAAUUCUUAGAUUAAUUUGGAUUAAAACCAACUAUCACAUAAUUUUAUUCAUUAAUCUAAAUUCACUCAUAAAACAAGGUAACACAAAAAACUUUUGGUGAUCCAUAACUUAUUCUUAAGUUAUGGAAUCCUUUAAAACAUUAACACCAAAUUUUGUAACUCCAAAAAAACUUUGAAUCAAUUUUUUUUUUAAAACCUUUUCAUAUCCAUAACUUAUGGAGGUUUCAAAAAAUAAAACUCUUUAGAUCAAACUUUUAAAACUAAUAAAAUAAUCAUAUUAUUUUAUCUUUUAUUAAAUUUGACCUAAUUCAACUCAUAAAGCAAAUUAUUCAAAUUUUACAAAUAAUUAGUUUUUCACAAGAACAAGUAAUUAUCUUAAAAUUUGACAAACUUCAUGUUUUUUUUUUUUUUUUUUUUCAACUUUGAAAAUAAAAUAUUUGCAUCAAUAUAACAGAAAACAACCCGUGGCUCUGAUACCACUGUUGGGUUUUGAGCAUUCUAACACUUCCUAAGUGUACAUGCAACCCUAAAUACCUUGGAUCUAUGUUUUCUCUAUUAUACAUGCAAAUAAGAACUUCCAAGGUAUUAUCCUAAUCUAGCAUACAAAACAAUAACUAUAGCAAGAUAGAAUACAUACCUCUUUGGUGUAGAAAGUCUUCAUGAAGCUUGAGUGCCUAGUGCCCCAAGUGUGACACCUCAAAUGGAAUCACAAUCAUCAAAACACUUAGAAUGACUUGAGAGAAUUCUACACUCAUCAAAAUCGGCUAGCCCUUUCUUCACUAUCUCUAGUGGCCGAUUUUUCCUCAAUAAUAAGAUGCUUAUAUAGUUACACAAUUAGGGUAAACUCUUAAUUGUCAUGGCUUUCCAUUUCCUUGGAUCCAUGGGUACAAAUACACCAUGGAGCAUCCAUGGACCAUCCUAUGGGUUUUAGCCCAACUUGAUUAUCCAUGGAGCAUUAGCCCACUAUACAAGUAUGGAUGAUUUACACAAUCAACCCAUAUAUUUAAUUAGUCUUCUUUUGAUCACUUAAUUAAUCCUAGAUUAAUUCUUGAUCAAUACUAAUUAAAUAAUCUUAUUAUUCUUAUUAUUAAUAUACUAGAACUUAUAAUAUAUUAAUAACCAUAAGUGUCUUAUUUCUCUCAUUAUAGUCUAUCCAAGUGCAUGAUGGUAUGCAACCCAAAUGGACCAUGCCGGGUCGGGUCAAGUCUUACCAAUUAUAGUUAUGGACUUAGACAUUAAUCCAACAGUCUCCCACUUGGAUAAGUCUAAAACUAUUAUUGCGUAUGACUUCAGGAACCAACUGGCAAUCGUAGCUCUCAAAAGCUUCUGUCGAACUCUGACCUUGUAGAUGAACUCUGACCUUUGUCAAUGACUUGUCCAUUAGAUAAGGGAUCAUAUAUUCCUCCAUUCUAGAUAUCAUAUGGACUGAGACAUGGAUUAUAAUCAUUCUCUCUGUCCAUUUGUUGUUUCCCGAUUUCCGAUUUAUGACGACUGACUAAUUGAACAAAUCAAAUCAGUCCUGGCCCGGCCGAGCACUUCCAUUUGUCAUCAUCAAAUCAUCGAGGGGCCCACAGAUAUCGCUUUUAUCCCGAAGGUAAAAGGAACGGAUAAACUUCGACUCAUAUGGCUUGUUCUACUACUUGUUGAAUCAUACACAAAGGCACGUUUUAUAGCACCGAGUUACCAAAUGCGUUUUCGUGCAAUCAAUGUACUAUCAACUCAUAGUAACAACUCAUAUCUCUAGGUUUGAAGAAUAUAAGAUAUUAUCGUCUCAUGAUCACUCGUGAUAAAAUCCAUGAAGUGAUUCCAAUGAGCGCGGGUUGAAUCCAAUACUCAGAACUUAUGAGCACUCAUGAGUGUUGUAGCCCUUUGUCCAACACCUUAGACCUCUACAAGCCAACCCAUGACAGUCUUAAUUCAUAUCUACUUCCAACAUAUGACCGACUGUGGAUGGUUUGAAUAACUUAGUCAUUCCGGAAGAAUAACCUAGUUUAUUCGGGAAGUCAAAACAUGCAAAGUGAAACACAAUAAUAAUUGAAUCCAAUAUGGUAUCAACCCUUUGAACAUAAAUAAAACACCUUUUAUUUAUCACCAUAUGAUUACACAUUAUUCAUUGUAUACUGUUUCAGCUAUCAACUUUAUUCUUGAAUUUAAAACAAUAGUUGUCCCAUGCUCCAAGCAUGUACACUAUGUUUUCUUAAACACUAGUCAUGCCACACACCAAGUAUGCAUACUAUGUUUGUCUAUGAUCUUUACUUUGUGAACUAGAUCAAUUGAACAUAACUUCAAUGAUUCUCUUUUCACACUCCCAAAUCCUUACUGCAAAUGCAAGAAUUCCAAAUUCAUGCCAUUUACUGAAAUCUGUUAGAUUCUAAACUUAUAUGCAUUGAUCCUCUUGUAAUGAUUAUGCACAAAGUCAGAAAGACUUGACAACAAUCAUUACAGAGUAUUCCAAAGGAGAUCAGCUCCUUGGAAACAUCCUUCUUGCAUUAAGUUUCCUAAUCUUAAACAGAUUGAAAAUUCUAACUUUGAAACAUUUCCAGAUUCCAUUUUGACUAUCACUUCUGAACAAGAGUUGCCUCCUUACAGAUUAUGUCAAUAUGGUCCUUCCAGAAUUAUCACUAUACUUCCAACUGUCCUUGAGCAACCAAUCUUUGGUAAACCUUAGAUUGUCCUCGACAAUUGUUUAAUCCUUUUAGUCAUAUCCAGUUCUAAACCUUUUCCCUUCUUAAUGCCCCAGGCAUUUGGAAAAUUUUAGAACGGAUGAAUAUAGCACAUGUAAUCGAUCCUAUAUCCGAAGCAUAUGGGACACGAUUCAUGAUGUCUUACAUAAAGACUAAACCAGUCUUUUGCUAUAAUAUUUCCAUUUCAAUUUGCCAAGUUCUCAUAAUUCAGAUUAUGAAAAGGGAUGCCGUAAUCAUAAUCGAAUUUUAGAACGCAAAUAAUGGACCCAUAUACAGAAUUUCCUUAUGUUGAGCCAUUCCAACAUGAAAUUCAUAUAUAUCCUUGACUAAAUGAUUAAAACCUCACGAUCUAAGCUUAUAGAUUUGAGAUGAAGUAUAAUUUCCUCUCCCUUAAUUAUAGCAAAACAACUUUUUCCCAAUUGAAACUUUUGUUUUCUAUAAUUAACAUUGCUAACUUGCAAUACUUAUCAUAAUUAUCAUGCUCCCACUAACAUGAUGAUUAUUAGCAUAACACUUAUGCUCCCACUAGCUUUGACAUGUACUCAGAAAUCAGCUGGACUUCUAGAAAUCAAUACUUCAUUGACUUUCUUACCAAAGUUCAGAUUUCUGAUGCUAGAUUGUUUUGAUAAAACUUUAUCAAAAUCAUACACCUUCCCUUAGAUAGCACACUUGUGUGUCUAAACAAUUAUGAAGAGGUAUGCCGUAAUCAUAAUGGUUAGACCUUUUUGCCACUUCUCACAAGUCCAGGUUAGUGUGCCGGUAAACCACACACGCUCCACUAACGACUUUGAGAAUGCAAAUAUCACAAUUGCUAUCUAGCUAAAAUCUACUUAGUGAAAGUGUUUCCUCACCAUCAUUUUCAUGAAUCGGAGAGAAACCUUAUGACACUUAGAUUUAAUGGUGUAUGUGUUCUUAUCCAUGUGAAUUGUCAAAACCAUAGUCACAAGACAAGGAUAAUGACAAAUCCAAACUCAUAUGGACUGAAGUCAAUCUUAAUUUCUUGCCACCUGGCAUCCCAAGGGCAUGCCAUUGCUUCCAAGUUGUUGUGCACCCAAUUGAGAACUCUAAGAACUCAUAUGCAAACCAACUUUAAUUGGAAUGAGCACAGAAUAUGUCAACAUGAUAGGUUAUGUACCUCAAGUCGUGUGUUAGUGAAGAACUUCAGGUUUUAUUCUUGAUUAGUUCUUGAGACUUUCAAGACCUUUAAGACUCCCACUGUCCUCUUGACAUAUAAGACUUCCUUGUCAGAUAUUCAAGAGAUAGUGUGGAUUCUAAUCAAGACAAACACUUCACACAAUUGGCCUAAGUUGGUCUUUGUUUUAUCCAAAACAUCACAACUUACCAAUUUCAAAUGUACAAGAGUAGAAAACUUUUACUCUUACAUUUGACAAGUGUUUUAAACCUUCUUUAAGACAUGUCACUCAAAUGACAAUCUUGGAGUAUGACUCUAAGACUUGUAUUGGAACGAAGUAUGACUCAUCUUCUUGAUUUAACCAUUUCAACAAUUCAAGUUCCUCUUCUUAGUCAUAAGAAUGCACUAAGAUUUCCUUAGAGAACUAAUGUUGAUAUGGUUUCUU